UUCGGGUUGUAAACCACUGUCGGGAGGGACGAAGAUCUGACGGUACCUCCAAAGGAAGCACCGGCUAACUCUGUGCCAGCAGCCGCGGUAAUACAGAGGGUGCGAGCGUUGUCCGGAAUUACUGGGCGUAAAGGGCGCGUAGGCGGCCUGAUAAGUAGGGGGUGAAAUUCCGUGGCUCAACCACGGAACUGCCUUCUAAACUGCCAGGCUUGAGCACGGUAGAGGCAGAUGGAAUUCCCGGUGUAGCGGUGGAAUGCGUAGAGAUCGGGAAGAACACCAGUGGCGAAGGCGGUCUGCUGGGCCGUUGCUGACGCUGAUGCGCGACAGCGUGGGGAGCAAACAGGAUUAGAUACCCUGGUAGUCCACGCCGUAAACGAUGGGCACUAGGCGUCGGGGGGAGCGACCCUCCCGGUGCCGUAGCUAACGCUCUAAGUGCCCCGCCUGGGGAGUACGGCCGCAAGGCUGAAACUCAAAUGAAUUGACGGA
rnacentral:rRNA from 1 species